rnacentral:rRNA from 1 species
GUGGGGAAUCUUGCGCAAUGGGCGAAAGCCUGACGCAGCCAUGCCGCGUGAAUGAUGAAGGUCUUAGGAUUGUAAAAUUCUUUCACCGGGGACGAUAAUGACGGUACCCGGAGAAGAAGCUCCGGCUAACUUCGUGCCAGCAGCCGCGGUAAUACGAAGGGGGCUAGCGUUGCUCGGAAUUACUGGGCGUAAAGGGCGCGUAGGCGGACAGUUUAGUCAGAGGUGAAAGCCCAGGGCUCAACCUUGGAAUUGCCUUUGAUACUGGCUGUCUUGAGUACGGGAGAGGUGAGUGGAACUCCGAGUGUAGAGGUGAAAUUCGUAGAUAUUCGGAAGAACACCAGUGGCGAAGGCGACUCACUGGCCCGUUACUGACGCUGAGGCGCGAAAGCGUGGGGAGCAAACAGGAUUAGAUACCCUUGUAGUCC